AGGAAUCGAAAGUGGACGUAGGUUACAACGACCGAACCACUAUAAAUCUGGUAUGUUCUUUCCUUACUGCUUUCUUUCACUACUUAGCUAUAUUCUACACUUUGCAUUUACUCUAAGUCAUCAUUUUCAUUACUUUACGAUGUGGGCUUUGUCAAAACGAUUGUAUCAAAAGAAAUUUUUCAGAUCAAUGAAAUUUUUAUUGCUGCACUAAUUCAACCCCCCCUCUUAGU
rnacentral:lncRNA from 1 species